GGGCUCGUCAUUCAACGGCAGGAUGCAAGAUUCGCAUUCUUGACAUUCGGGUUCAAUUCCCGACGAGUCCA
rnacentral:tRNA from 1 species